GUCCUGUUUCAAUUUCUAUCCAUUAUCGUCCUACUAUCUAGUAGGACUGGUAUACUUGUAUUGACUGGAGUACGUAAGGAAAAGGUAAGGUUAACCGCUAUC
rnacentral:rRNA from 1 species